UGAAGGUGCACAGAUUGAGGUUAUGGCACACUUUUUUCUUGGAUAUGAUUCUGGAAUUGAUUGCUAUAGAGCUUGAUGAUCCUGAGGCUUUGGCAAUAUUGCAUCUGAUGGCUCAGAUUUCUGAAGCGGAAACCCUAGGAAUACUGUCGGAGGCUGGAGUGUUGCAUUUUGGAACACAGAGUAAUGAGUCAGACAAGGUUGGAAAACUGGUAAAUUAUGUAUUGAAUUUGGGGAUUUUGAAUCGUCUGUUAGAAUGAAAUGCCUGUUUUAAGUACUGAUUUUUCUGUUGCAUUCGGAACACUGAGUACACAGUCAAAGUCUGGAGUGUUGCAUUUUGGAACACAGAAUAAUGA